GACGAACGCUGGCGGCGUGCUUAACACAUGCAAGUCGAACGGAAAGGCCCUGCUUUUGUGGGGUGCUCGAUUGGCGAACGGGUGAGUAACACGUGAGUAACCUGCCCUUGACUUUGGGAUAACUUCAGGAAACUGGGGCUCAUACCGGAUAGGAGCUCCUGCUGCAUGGUGGGGGUUGGAAAGUUUCGGCGGUUGGGGAUGGACUCGCGGCUUAUCAGCUUGUUGGUGGGGUAGUGGCUUACCAAGGCUUUGACGGGUAGCCGGCCUGAGAGGGUGACCGGCCACAUUGGGACUGAGAGACGGCCCAGACUCCUACGGGAGGCAGCAGUGGGGAAUAUUGCACAAUGGGCGGAAGCCUGAUGCAGCAACGCCGCGUGCGGGAUGACGGCCUUCGGGUUGUAAACCGCUUUCGCCUGUGACGAAGCGUGAGUGACGGUAAUGGGUAAAGAAGCACCGGCUAACUACGUG
rnacentral:rRNA from 1 species